rnacentral:rRNA from 1 species
UACGUAGGGAGCAAGCGUUGUCCGGAAUUAUUGGGCGUAAAGAGCUCGUAGGCGGUUUGUCGCGUCUGCUGUGAAAACCCGAGGCUCAACCUCGGGCCUGCAGUGGGUACGGGCAGACUAGAGUGCGGUAGGGGAGAUUGGAAUUCCUGGUGUAGCGGUGGAAUGCGCAGAUAUCAGGAGGAACACCAAUGGCGAAGGCAGAUCUCUGGGCCGUAACUGACGCUGAGGAGCGAAAGCAUGGGGAGCGAACAGG